rnacentral:RNase_P_RNA from 2 species
GAAAGCAGGCGAGGUGGUCGCGAUCGGAGACGCUGUGCCUUUCGGGGUGCGGUGGCGUCCGGUUGAGGAAAGUCCGGGCUCCCCAAUGGCCAGGCUUGCUGGGUAACGCCCAGUGCGGGUGACCGUGAGGAGAGUGCCACAGAAACACACCGCCGAUGGCCGGUCACCGGGGCAACCCGACCCGUGCACAGGUAAGGGUGCAAAGGUGCGGUAAGAGCGCACCAGCAGCAUCGAGAGGUGCUGGCUUGGUAAACCCCGGCUGGGAGCAAGGCCCAGGGACAACGGUUGGCCAUGGCACCCGUCCCGCCCCCAAUGCGCCGCUCGAGGCCGCCGGUAACGGCGGUCCCAGACAGAUGAUCACCCUCCUCGCCCCCGGGCGGUGGAGAACAGAACCCGGCUUAUGUCCUGCUUUCUGCC